UACGAAGGGGGCUAGUGUUGCUCGGAAUCACUGGGCGUAAAGGGUGCGUAGGCGGGUCUUUAAGUCAGGGGUGAAAUCCUGGAGCUCAACUCCAGAACUGCCCUUGAUACUGAAGAUCUUGAGUUCGGGAGAGGUGAGUGGAACUGCGAGUGUAGAGGUGAAAUUCGUAGAUAUUCGCAAGAACACCAGUGGCGAAGGCGGCUCACUGGCCCGAUACUGACGCUGAGGCACGAAAGCGUUGGGAGCAAACAGG
rnacentral:rRNA from 1 species